rnacentral:rRNA from 1 species
GUCCGUAUGAAUGGAAUAUGCGGUCUCGCCUGCCCACUGAUUUAUUUUAAAGGGCCGCGGUAGCCUGACCGUGCUAAGGUAGCAUAAUCAUUUGUCUUUUAAUUGGAGGCUUGUAUGAAUGGUUGGACGAGGGAGGUUCUGUCUUUAUUAUAAAUAUUGAAUUUAACUUUUAAGUGAGAAGGCUUAGAUUUACUAGGGGGACGAUAAGACCCUAUAAAACUUUAUAGAGAGAGGGUUGAUUUUUUAAUUAUUUAGUUUUAAUGAUGUUAUUUUUUAUUUAUUUCGUUGGGGCGAUGAAGAUAGGUAUUUAGGGAAUCUGUCUUUUAAUAUUUAAUAUUUAUCUUUAGUUGGUGGUGAUCCUUCGUUGGGGAUAAUAAGAUCAAGUUACUUUAGGGAUAACAGCAUAAUUUUCUUUGAGAGUACGUAUCGACAAGAGUAGUUGUGACCUCGAUGUUGAAUUAAAGUUUCAUUAAGGUGUAGGAGCUUUAAUAGUAGGUCUGUUCGACCUUUAAAAUUUU